rnacentral:lncRNA from 1 species
GAUGCUCAACUGCUGGGCGGAUGGCGUGCCGAUGAUUACCCAGCGCCCCAUCCUUCCAGACCAUAACUUUACCUACCGUUUCGAUGUUUCCGGGCAGGAAGGAACCCUAUGGUGGCAUGCUCAUGUCCCCUGCCUCCGUGCAACAAUACAUGGCAUCUUGAUCAUCCGGCCGCGGCAUGGAGCCAUCUCCUAUCCAUUUCCUAAGCCUCAUAAGGAGAUCCCCAUCAUUAUAGGUAUGUGAAUUUUCACCAUUUGACAGCCUAAUAAAAUAACAUCAAAAUUGCACACUGUUUUCAUACUGGACGCAGUCGUUCCCCACCGGCAGCGCGCAAAUUCCAUGGGCGCCGUAGGACGGGACGAUGGCAUACUGUUCCGGCGCCGGGAGGCACUCCGACGUCAGGAGGAGCCGCCGGCGCGUCCGAGGGAGUUCCUUUUCAGUUUUCCUUUGUUGAUUUGCCCCGUUCCAAAAUUGCUGCUCAGUCUCGUCAAUUCUCCCCCGUAUCGGCGUAUUUAGCUUCUUGCGUUCCCACGAUUCUAUAGGUGUUCAUUACCAUCAUUAAGCAUUAAGCUAUGGCAGGUUCGCCUCUAGGAUCCUAGGCCAUCGUCCAAAAAUGCAUUCUCUUCAUGGUCAUCAGCAUGGUCCUUGCCUCCUCAUCUUCCUCGUGGCUUCCAGCAACGCGGCAGGUGCCUCUGUUAGCUCUGGGCCUUAGUUGCAGCGUGGCACAGGCACAGGCACACGCACACCAUGCCACGCAGCAGUAUACAGGUCCGGCGCGGCGUCACGCGUAGCGUUCGAGGAGGCCCGCGGCAUCCGGCCCGGCCACAGCGUGAGCCACAACGGUGAUCUCUACCACCGGGACCUGCUGUGGAUCCAUAACCGAUCCAAAAUAACAAGGAAAAUAGUGCACAAAGAGAAUCAAAUAAUUAUAAAGCAAAGUCGGAAAUCUAGCUGGCAUACGUUCUAUACUUUUAUUUCACAAUGCUGUGGCUGAACUGUUUGCUGUUGUGUUCCUGGUAAUGACAGGGGAGUGGUGGGACCUAGAGGACCUUGGACAGGUGGACAGGCACUUGAGGCAUUAUGUGGCUGACGAUUACUUCAAAGCGUCCACAAUCAAUGGCAAGCUUGGAGAUCUCUACAACUGCUCUGGUAAUCAAAAUAGGUAGUAUUAGACUAAUACAUGUCCACGUUGAAACAUUAUGUUUUAUCUCACUGAAGUUUCAUGAUUCAACUUUGAAGGUGUCGUCGAAGAAGGCUACAAGCUGGACGUGGAGCCCGGCAAGACCUACCUGCUCCGAGUACUCAAUGCUGCGCUCUUCUCUGAGUACUACCUCAAGGUAGCUGGGCACAAGUUCAGAGUGGUUGCUGGCGAUGCCAACUACGUUAGCCCCUAUACGACGGACAUCAUCGCGAUUGCUCCCGGCCAGACAUUCGACGCCCUCGUGGUCGCCGAUGCGUCUCCUGGAAGAUACUACAUGGUCGCCAUGCCCAACCAGGCUCCAAAGCCCGACUAUCAGAGCCCAGUCUUGCCCACUAGAGGCAUACUGCAGUAUAGCAACGGAGCAGGAGGAAAUCAGCCCGGUGAUGUUCCAAUGUCACCAGAGAUGCCUGACAACCACAACCAUAUGCUAUCGUUCUACUUCCAUGGCAACCUUACCAGCUUGCACCACCCAAGACACCUACCAGUGCCGAAGCGAAUCGAUGAACGCCUAUUCAUAACGCUCGGGCUUGGCUCCGUUUGUCGGCAAGGCCAGUCCUGCGAGAGAGGAGCAGAGAGCGACGAGGUCAUCGUUGUGGCAACCAUGAAUAAUAUAUCAUACGAGCUCCCCACCGUGUCGAGACCACUGCUAGAAGCCCACUACCAGAACCCCAGCAACAUUGACUGGCUGCAAGAACUCCCUGAUGUACCACCGCGGGUGUUCAACUUCACUGACAGUUCCUUGAUCCCAACAGGACCCAAGGAGGAACAACUAGAGCCGACGUCCAAGGCUGCGUUGGCACGGCGAUUCCGGUAUGGAGCUGUUGUUGAUGUGGUGUUCCAGAGCACGUCAAUGUUGCAGAGCGAGUCCAACCCGAUGCACCUGCACGGACAUGACAUGUUCGUGCUGGCACAGGGCAGCGGCAACUAUGACAAGGAAAGGGAUGUGGCGAAGUACAACCUAGUUAAUCCUCCACUUGUGAACACCGUGCUUGUACCACGGCUUGGAUGGGUGGCUGUCCGGUUUAUUGCGGACAAUCCAGGUACGAACGUGAUUUUAACUUUCUUUUUUUUGCCAAGGAAGAUACAAUUAUGUAGAACAUAACAACUCUUUCUCUUUCGGAAUUUGUUAUAUGAAUAACUGCCCUACGAUACACUAGCUAGGUUUAAAGUUUGAUUUGUAUGUAUGAGGCUGAAAAGU